rnacentral:rRNA from 1 species
UACGGGGGGGGCAAGCGUUGUUCGGAAUUACUGGGCGUAAAGUGUGCGCAGGCGGCCGAGCAAGUCGAGUGUGAAAGCCCCGAGCUUAACUUGGGAAUUGCGCUCGAAACUACUUGGCUGGAGUGUGGCAGAGGAAGGUGGAAUUCCAGGUGUAGCGGUGAAAUGCGUAGAGAUCUGGAGGGACACCGAUGGCGAAGGCAGCCUUCUGGGCCAACACUGACGCUCAUGCACGAAAGCGUGGGGAGCAAACAGG